AUGCUGCUGAGGAGUCCCAUACUAGGACGAAACGGCCGUCCAGUGCAU
rfam:Schistosoma curassoni strain Dakar, Senegal genome assembly, scaffold: SCTD_scaffold0002056